rnacentral:misc_RNA from 1 species
UCCCGCUUAACGCGGGCAGUUCCCUUAGAGUGCCACGGCAUCACCCGGGGGCAACUAAGGGCAAGGGUUGCGCUCGUUGCGGGACUUAACCCAACACCUCACGGCACGAGCUGACGACAGCCAUGCAGCACCUGUCUUGGCGCUCCCUUGCGGGCACGCGGGGCUUUCACCCCGCUUCGCCAGAUGUCAAACCCAGGUAAGGUUCUUCGCGUUGCAUCGAAUUGAACCACAUGCUCCGCUGCUUGUGCGGACCCCCGUCAAUUCCUUUGAGUUUUAGCCUUGCGGCCGUACUCCCCAGGCGGGGUGCUUAAUGCGUUAGCUUCGGCACGGAGGGAGUCGACACCCCCCACACCUAGCACCCAUCGUUUACGGCGUGGACUAC